rnacentral:misc_RNA from 1 species
GGAAGAUCUCAGCUCUUGUUAUUUUCAUAGUUUUAUAUUCUGUAUCUUGUUUGAAAGGUUACAUUUCUAGUGUCUAUUGCCUCUUAUUGAAAAAUGAUUACUCUUCAGUGUUGAUGGAAUGUAGUUGUUUAAUGUAAUGGGAUUUAUGGUAUUUUUAUUGUUUUAUUGGAAGCUCUUUUUAUUGAUUAUUCUACUUUUAUAUCCAAAUGGAAGUGGGUUGUUGCUAUUUAGGCCGAUUACAGAUUGGUAAUUAUUUUGUACAUCUAUAGAAUAUUUAUGGUAUAUGAUGUGUUUUGUAGCAAAAUUGACGGUAUGCAUUGUUUGUCUUCUAUCUGGAAGGUCUUUUAUGGCAUGUGAUGAUGACCAUCGUGUUUGGUUCAUGCUGUAUUUUCUGCUCAAUAUUGGAAAUUUUCCUUUAUUGCAGUAAGCUUCAGAGUGAGGCAUUG